GUUUUGGGGUUCGGUGUGCAGCCAGCAUGGUGUCCUUGGCACCAGGGUUUCGGCAGAGGAGCCUAGCGUGGGCCUACUUACUUGGACUCCUCCGCGUGGGGCAGCUCGGGACACCCUGGCCUGCAGGAGAGCGGGGUUUCUAGGCUGGCCUCGGCUCUGCAGUGCAGCCGGGUGCCUGCCACUCGCGGGGCUCUGUCGCAGUACUCGUGCCUGGCGCCUCCCCUCAGCCACAGAGACCGCAGUAGCUCCAACCAUCGCACCCCUAACUGGGCCACGAGUUCUCUGAUUGCCAGACCUGUUGUCUUUGCUACUCACUGUUCUGAGCAAUUGGAGAGUCGUGUAUUCACUACACGCCAGCCAGAGUGGUCCUGUAAAAGCAGUCUCACUCUGCUGCCUAGGCUGAGUGCAGUGGUGUGAUCAAGGCGCACUGCAGCCUUGACCUCCUGGGCUCAAGCGAUCCUCACCUCGGUCUACCGAGUAGCUGGGACUACAGGCACGCGCCACUACACUCGGCCUUGAGGGCUGCACCUAGAUGAACCUGUGAGGCUCAUUUGAACCUUUUGGAAGCACCGAAGCCUGCUGAAGUUUCCAGACAUCUGAACUCAACUGGCAAGGCUGCUUUUCUGUGCUAAAACUGGGGAGCUAGUGGGCACCAUGAAGAUCUUCUGCAGUCGGGCCAAUCCGACCACGGGGUCUGUGGAGUGGCUGGAGGAGGAUGAACACUAUGAUUACCACCAGGAGAUUGCAAGGUCAUCUUAUGCAGAUAUGCUACAUGACAAAGACAGAAAUGUAAAAUACUACCAAGGUAUCCGGGUUGCCGUGAGCAGGGUGAAGGACAGAGGACAGAAGGCCUUGGUUCUCGACAUUGGCACUGGCACGGGACUCUUGUCAAUGAUGGCGGUCACAGCAGGUGCCGACUUCUGCUAUGCCAUCGAGGUUUUCAAGCCUAUGGCUGAUGCUGCUGUGAAGAUUGUGGAGAAAAAUGGCUUUAGUGAUAAGAUUAAGGUUAUCAACAAGCAUUCCACCGAGGUGACUAUAGGUCCAGAGGGUGACAUGCCAUGCCGUGCCAACAUCCUGGUCACAGAGUUGUUUGACACAGAGCUGAUCGGGGAGGGGGCGCUGCCCUCCUAUGAGCACGCACACAGGCAUCUCGUGGAGGAAAAUUGUGAGGCCGUGCCCCACAGAGCCACCGUCUAUGCACAGCUGGUGGAGUCCAGGAGGAUGUGGUCGUGGAACAAGCUAUUUCCCAUCCACGUGCAGACCAGCCUCGGAGAGCAGGUCAUCGUCCCUCCCAUGGACCUGGAGAGCUGCCCUGGCGCACCCUCUGUCUGUGACAUUCAGCUGAACCAGGUGUCACCAGCCGACUUUACAGUCCUCAGCGAUGUGCUGCCCAUGUUCAGCAUAGACUUCAGCAAGCAAGUCAGUAGCUCAGCAGCCUGCCAUAGCAGGCGGUUUGAACCUCUGACAUCUGGCCGAGCUCAGGUGGUUCUCUCGUGGUGGGACAUUGAAAUGGACCCUGAGGGGAAGAUCAAGUGCACCAUGGCCCCCUUCUGGGCACACUCAGACCCAGAGGAGAUGCAGUGGCGGGACCACUGGAUGCAGUGUGUGUACUUCCUGCCACAAGAGGAGCCUGUGAUGCAGGGCUCAGCGCUCUAUCUGGUAGCCCACCACGAUGACUACUGCGUAUGGUACAGCCUGCAGAGGACCAGCCCUGAAAAGAAUGAGAGAGUCCGCCAGAUGCGCCCCGUGUGUGACUGCCAGGCUCACCUGCUCUGGAACCGGCCUCGGUUUGGAGAGAUCAAUGACCAGGACAGAACUGAUCGAUACGUCCAGGCUCUGAGGACCGUGCUGAAGCCAGACAGCGUGUGCCUGUGUGUCAGCGAUGGCAGCCUGCUCUCCGUGCUGGCCCAUCACCUGGGGGUGGAGCAGGUGUUUACAGUCGAGAGCUCAGCAGCUUCUCACAAACUGUUGAGAAAAAUCUUCAAGGCUAACCACUUGGAAGAUAAAAUUAACAUCAUAGAGAAACGGCCGGAAUUAUUAACAAAUGAGGACCUGCAGGGCAGAAAGGUCUCUCUCCUCCUGGGCGAGCCGUUCUUCACUACCAGCCUGCUGCCGUGGCACAACCUCUACUUCUGGUACGUGCGGACUGCUGUGGACCAGCACCUGGGGCCAGGUGCCAUGGUGAUGCCCCAGGCAGCCUCGCUGCACGCUGUGGUUGUGGAGUUCAGGGACCUGUGGCGGAUCCGGAGCCCCUGUGGUGACUGCGAAGGCUUCGACGUGCACAUCAUGGACGACAUGAUUAAGCGUGCCCUGGACUUCAGGGAGAGCAGGGAAGCUGAGCCCCACCCGCUGUGGGAGUACCCAUGCCGCAGCCUCUCUGAGCCCUGGCAGAUCCUGACCUUUGACUUCCGGCAGCCGGUGCCCCUGCAGCCCCUGUGUGCCGAGGGCACCGUGGAGCUCAGAAGGCCCGGGCAGAGCCACGCAGCGGUGCUAUGGAUGGAGUACCACCUGAUCCCGGAGUGCACGCUCAGCACUGGCCUCCUGGAGCCUGCAGACCCCGAGGGGGGCUGCUGCUGGAACCCCCACUGCAAGCAGGCCGUCUACUUCUUCAGCCCUGCCCCAGAUCCCAGAGCACUGCUGGGUGGCCCGCGGACUGUCAGCUAUGCGGUGGAGUUUCACCCCGACACAGGCGACAUCGUCAUGGAGUUCAGGUAACUUCAAGCCACAGGUGUCUGGCCUCAGUGCUGCACCAGCUGGUGGCCUGCCAGGACCUGAGACUGGACACAAGGCAGCUGUCCCAGAGCAGUUCCUGAGAUGCAGGCCCAGGAAAGCGGCUGUCAGGGGAGCUGGGAGGCAGCCCUGUUCCCUGCACCUCCCUCAGAUUGGAAAGCCCCUCCUGCAGGUGGGGUAUGGCAGGGAGCAGCCCCUGCCCAGCGCCGCUUCACCAGGAAGGCAGUCAGCAGGCGGUUCCGGGUCUAGGGGUCCAGGGCCGGCCGGCCCAGUCGCUUGUGUGAGCAGAGUCCCAGCUGCUUCUGGAAGUUGGGGGCCUCCACAUCAUGAAUCCCAGUCAAGGCUCACAGGCCAGCCCCUUGGAGGGGUGGGCCGGGCAGAGAGCCCAGCAGGAUGCUCGCCCUCAGCAGCCCCUUCCUGGCUCUGGACUCUGGAGGGGCAGGGCUUGGGCCCGGGCAGACGGUGCUUCCCAGGCCAGGUGAGUUCAGACAGGCCAGUGUCACAAGGACGCACGUCCUAGCGCCAGGCUCCCUGGGCUCUGCAGCGUUGUCUACCCCAGCACAGGGCCAGGCGUCUGGCUGGCUGCGUGGCCCCCUCUUGGUCCCUCUUGCAGCUCAAUGGGUGACAAGGCACAGCAUCAGGGCACCAGCACCAGGAGGGGCAGACAGCAGGUCCUGGUGCUCCCUCCAGCCUCACCAGGCAAAGCCGGCCCUGGGCCAGGCUGGGUGCAGGGCCAGGGCGCCACGAGGAGCGGAGGUCAGCGGGGAUUGUCAAAAACAGUCCCUCAAGUUGAGUCUCGAACUUUGAAACAGACAAAACCUUCACUGCAUGACAGGAGCAGCCCUGGAGUCUCUUAAAGGCAGGUGGGCAGAGGCAGUGCUGCCGAAGGGGCCUGGGGGCUGUAGGCAUCUUGGGGCUGGAGGCAGAUUGGGGACCACAAGCUGUUGGCCAGCUCUGCCAUGCUGAACUUGGGUGCCAGUACCACACCCUGCCCUGGGCAUGCAGCAACCGUCAGCCUUGCUGCCCCAGCUUGCGCACUGGUGAGGGCCAGGCUGCUCUCUGCACCUUGGCUUCCUGCCUCCUAGGCCGGGGUCCCCUUGUGGCCUUGGUGUUGGCUGGGGUAGCUAUUGAGGAUAGGCCUGGGAGGCCAGAGCCGCAGCCCCACCCGGGGGGCAGGCAGGGGUUCCUGAGCUCAGCCGGCACGCAGGUGGGGCACGUCCCCAGGGAGGGAUUGGUCCCGAACCAGAGAGGUGUCCGGUGGGGGAGAGGAUUGGCAGAAAGAAGAGGAUGUGUUGGUUUUGAUAGAAGAGAAGCUACAAAUAGAUUAUUUUCAAAAUCAGGAUCCCCCCACCCCCAUUUAUGCUGUGAGUCCCUUCUUCCUGUAAAAAAAAAAAAAGUGGAUACUCUCUUCUCGGAUCCCCGUUUAUGGCUCCACUGCCCAGAUGGGAGGCUCCUGGAGGAGGCCCAGGGUGCCAGAGCCUGCCAGACUCUGUUGUGCCUGAGCUGGGGAAGGGACCCUGUCUCGGGAAGAGCAAAGUUCUAUGAGUGACUUACAGACCCUAUGAAGUGAGGGUUGGUUUUGUGAUUAACCUUUUUCUGUUUUUCCUUUUAAAAUGUAAUUGCCCUUGAAUGCGAGACCCUGGGAAGAGCCCUGGGCUGGCUGGUAGAGAUGCAGCCCUCGGACCCUGCAGGAGCCGGCCCACACUGGAGGCGGGAGAGCUGGUGGCCGUGCCCAGGAAGUGCUUCUUUGGCUGGUUCUGAUUGUGUUUGGAGUUUGGCCUUGGGUGAGGCCCGAGCAAGGGGUCUGUGGCUACGGCAUGGCACGUGGCAUGCGGGCAGCGUGCAUGCGAGGGUGCAGGCAUGCGAGACGACAUUGGCAGCAGACAAAAAUAAAGAACCCUGGACGAAGCUUAAGAA